CGCGGCAUUCCGCCCAAGCCUUACAUACAGGGCAUGCACGUCAGGCUCAUAACCUGAAGGUCGUAGGUUCAAAUCCUACUCCCGCAACCA
rnacentral:tRNA from 1 species